rnacentral:rRNA from 1 species
UGAGGAAUCUUGCGCAAUGGGGGAAACCCUGACGCAGCAACGCCGCGUGAGUGAGGAAGGCCUUCGGGUCGUAAAGCUCUGUCGGGUGGAAAGAAACGCAUAGGUGCUAAUAUCAUCUAUGCUUGACGGUACCACCAAAGGAAGCACCGGCUAACUCCGUGCCAGCAGCCGCGGUAAUACGGGGGGUGCAAGCGUUGUUCGGAAUCAUUGGGCGUAAAGAGCGUGUAGGCGGCCGGAUAAGUCAGAUGUGAAAUCCCUGGGCUCAACCCAGGAAGUGCAUUUGAAACUGUUCGGCUAGAGUAGGGGAGAGGGAAGUGGAAUUCCUGGUGUAGAGGUGAAAUUCGUAGAUAUCAGGAGGAACACCGGUGGCGAAGGCGACUUCCUGGCCCUAUACUGACGC